rnacentral:lncRNA from 1 species
UAUGAAGGUUUUCAUAACUAUGGUGGCUACAACAAUUAUGGCUAUGGAAAUAAUGGCUUCGAUGACAGAAUGAUAGAAGAGGUAUGAGAGGACAUGGCUAUGGCAGAGCUAAUGAUGCAAGUUCAGGUUUUCAUGGUGGUCAUUUCUUUUGUAUAUUAGAGGGUUGCCUUUUUAUGCAACUGAAAAUAACAUUGCUAAUUUCUUCUCACCACUAAAUCCAGUAUGAAUUCAUAUUGAUAUUGAAGCUAAUGGCGGAGCAACAGAAGUAGAUAUAGAGUUUGCGACAUAUAAAGAUGCGGUAGUUGCCGUGUCUAAACAUGAAAAAAAAAAUGCAGCAUUGAUAAAUUAAACUAUUUUGAAUUCUGCUCUGGAAUGAGAGGUUCUGGAAUGGGAGGCCACAGCAGAGAUGGAAUGAAUAAUCAAAGAGGUUAUGGCUCUGUUGUAAAAAUGAAAAUGGGGAACAGUUACAUGGAAAAUAUGGUGCUGCUGAUGGCUUGGGUGUUUAUGGCCAUGGUGGUGGAGGCAGUGGAGGUUACUAUAGGCAAGGCAGCAUGAAUGGAGGUAAAUGGUGUGGAAUGUACUG